rnacentral:rRNA from 1 species
UAUUGGACAAUGGACAAACGUCUGAUCCAGCAAUAUCGCGUGAGUGAUGAAGGCCCUUAUGGUUGUAAAACUCUUUCGUCGAAGAAGAUAAUGACAGUACUCGAAGAAGAAGCCCUGGCAAACCCCGUGCCAGCAGCCGCGGUAAGACGGGGAGGGCUAGUGUUAUUCGGAAUAACUGGGCGUUAAGGGCGCGUAGGCUGUAAAUAACGUUAAAAGUGAAAUCGUUGGGUACAUCAGCGCUUGCUUUUAAUACCUAUUUACUAGAGUGCAAGAGAGGAUGAUGGAAUUUCGAAUGGAGAGCUAAAAUUCAUAGAGAUUCGAAGGAACACCAGAGGCGAAGGCGAUCAUCGGCUUGCUACUGACGCUGAGGCGCGAAA